ACCGUCCAUUACCAUUCCAUCCCGCUCCACCAGUCCACACCGCAGCAGCACGAGUGAGCUCGAGACCGAGAGGGGAAGAGAGGAGGAAGCGAUACAGUACUACAGGCAACCAUGGAGGUGGUGACCGGCAGCAACGGCGGGAGGCUGAACCCGUGGGCGGAGCCCUUCGUGCCGGGGAGCUGGUGCCGCCCCGCCCCCGUGCAGGCGGCCGCGGCGGAGGUCGAGGACUUCUCGCCCGAGUGGUGGCGCCUCGUCGCCUCCUCGCCGUCCUUCCGCGACAGCUGGCUCCGCGACUACGGCGACCUGGGGCUGCUGGACGCCGACGAAGGCCCAGAUGACAGCGACGCCUUCUUCCCUCCGCCGCGCCACAACGGUACGUGACCAGACCGGCCCAGAUCUACUUUCCUUCACGGUUGUUACCUUGUUGUUAAACCUGCCACCGUUGUUCGGAGCAGAUGGGGAGGAGAGGAAGGGAGAAGCCGCCGUCAAGAAGAGCGGGGGCGAGGUGGCGCCCUGGGGGAUCGAGAAGUGGUGGCGGGCGCACGUCGCCUCGCCGCCGGAGGUCCCGAAGUACGCGGAGAAGGCGCCUGCUAAGGUCCUGGGCGGCGGCAGGUUCAGCCCCCGCACCAUCCAGCAGCCUCGCUAAGGGGCCUACCGGCCUCAUCGCGUUCCGCAUCGAUCCAUCGAUCUUGGCAUAAAUGAAAAAAAGAUAGAAAAAAAUAGUAGUAGUUUGCGAGCUCUUCUGCUCUUAAUUAGCUUUGCUUAUGCUUAAUUUCGUCGUGUCUCGUUCUAGUUUCCAGCUCAAGAUCGAAGGGAGGUUCACUCCACUGCGCUGUGUAUGUGUCUGUAAAUGAUGUAAUAAGAUGCAGUGAUGCAAUGACUCAAUUCGGUGCGGUUUACCGGUUUUCGUUGCCUGAUCUUUGGCGCUGUGAAAUUUUAACAUUGAA
rnacentral:lncRNA from 1 species